CACACAUACACACACACACAAUCUUCCAUUUGCUGGUUCAGUCUCCCAGAUGCCUACACUGGCCGAGGCUGGGCCAAACUGACGUCAGGAACUCCACCUCAGCCUCCCGCAUGGGUGGCAGGAACUAAAAUACUUGGGUUGUCAUCUGUUGCCUCCCAGGUGCAUAAAGCGCAGCUGUAUUGGAAGCAGAAUAGCUGGGUCUUGAACCAGGCGCUUCAAGGAGGGAUGCAGACAUUGUGAGAAGUAGCCUAUCCACUGCCCUGCAACGCUGCCCCUGGAUCUGCGGGACCAGAAUGCAACUGUGGAGGACACGAGCACUAGCAGAGACCAAGGAAGAACAGAAAAACCCUGGAACCUUUGGGAUGACGCUGUGAGCUGCUGGGGAAAAUAACUCGUGGAUGAAAUGGGCUCCACGAUGCUUUCCCUCCCUCUGCUCCUCAUUCUGUUUCAUAAGAGAAUAAAAAAUGGAAGGGAACUCAGAGUGUUUAGUGCGAUACGUAGGAACUUUCUACAGGAACAGAUCAUAGCCACCCUGUCCUGAAAAGCCAAUGAACACUCUCUAUGGCUACCGGUGGUUCUUUCUGUGAUCAACACUUCUUUAGAUGACUCAUUCCCAAGAGGAUGGAAGAGGGAGAAGCCCUGAAAACAUGACAUCAUACUGUGGUUUGAAAAAUUAAGAAUCAAUUUAUAUAUGGCCAGAAUAGACUUUGGUCAUUUCUGAAGUAAAGCAAUGGUUCUCAAACAGGGUAAUUUUGCCACCAGGGAACAUGUUGCAAGGUCACACUAGAGGGCGCUAAUGGCCAUCAUAUGAUUUUGCUGUCAUCCAAUGCCCUCAAGAUGUCCACAGUGCUGAGACUAAGAAACACUGCAUCAAAGUUACACACAAAUUUCAAGAAUCAUUAGGCCGGCGCCGCGGCUCAAUAGACUAAUCCUCCACCUAGCGGCACCGGCACACCGGGUUCUAGUCCCGGUUGGGGCGCCAGAUUCUUUCCCAGUUGCCCCUCUUCCAGGCUAGCUCUCUGCUGUGGUCCGGGAGUGCAGUGGAGGAUGGCCCAGGUGCUUGGGCCCUGCACCCCAUGGGAGACCAGGAGAAGCACCUGGCUCCUGCCUUCGGAUCAGCGCGGUGCACCGGCCAUUGGAGGAUGAACCAACGGCAAAAGGAAGACCUUUCUCUCUGUCUCUCUCUCACUAUCCACUCUGCCUGUCCAAAAAAAAAAAAAAAAAAAAAAAAAAAAAAAAAAAAAAAAAUCAUUA